GGAAGUGGCUCAGUGAUAGAGCGCUUGCUUUACAUGCAUGAAGCCCUGGGUUCAAUUCCUCAGCUCCA
rnacentral:tRNA from 1 species